UGUUUCCCGAUUCAAUUAUGUAUACUCUUGUCGAUAUUCUAGAUAAAUCGAUAUGGGGCGUUAUAAUUGGUAUCAGAGCAGGUCGAUUCAGUAUCGGACCUUGCCACGGAUCAUUAAAGUUCAAUAAAAGUAGUACGGACCCUUUGGAGUCUGGACUGUUUACGCUGAAAUCAUCGCGUGCUGAGCCCGAUCAACUCAGUAUCGUGUAUGGUAGGCAGGGUAUUACGGUUGAGAACCGAAGUGGACCAAGGAGGUCGGGUAGUAAGAACAAGUAGAAGUUCAAACUCAGGUGGAAGUAUGAACGGGGAUCGUUAGAAGUGGAUAUUGUAACUGCAUCAGUCGAUGCCACAAGAGUAAGUUGAGUAACGCCAACAAGUGGCGCGCAGGGAAUAAUAUAUGGCAUAAUACCAGUAGUAAAGAGGAAUAACGGGAAAUGCACGAACCGGACGAGUGCAACUGAAGGUAGCUUUUGUAAGGAUCUAAAGGAUUUUGGGAAUGGAAAACCUAAUAUCAAGGUAAGUUUUGACGGAGUUGAUUCAAGACGGAGUGCAAAAGUAAGAUAUUCCGAUAGCCGCAGUAGGUCUGAAUUGUGCAAUGAGGCAGAUGAAGUGUAAUUGAAGCGUGUAGUACUCAAGUAGUAUCCAACUGAUGCGUAUGCGUCAUGUCGACUUCUCCGAACCUAGAAGCAAACUCCUCUCACUUGUGAAACUUUUCAUCAGGAACAUGUAGAAUCAAGCAAGACCUAAUGCUAGUCAGUAAACCAAAACUUUUCCCAAAUCUGUCUAACCUUCAUAACAGCCUAGUAGUCCAUCCCAGAGAAUUCGAAGUUAGACCAUAAAGAUUCCAUUAUUUCGUUAAUGUUCGUUAUUUGUAUAACUUUCUUAGAACAAUACCACCAGUUGUCCUUAAUUAAAUAACUUCAGCCUCUCAGCUCACAAUCAAUCAUCAUAUAUGACCAUUAUAAGUCAAGCAAUGUUUAGAUUAACAAUUAUGAAUUGCUUUUAGUAUCGUCAAGUCAUCGGAGUCGAUCCGUUAAGCAUCCUCAUUGAGUGGCUCAUGAACAAGUAAUUCAGUUCGGUACUGAAUUCAACAAGUUAUCAGGAUUUCAUGUAGUCAAUAACCCAACAAGUUCAAUUAAGCCUCUGGUGAGGGUUUGUCAGCUAAAUCAUAUAAAAGUCAGGUCAUACCUGGUAGGACAAUCAGAAUUCUUUAUUAAACGAUACUAGUCAUCCAGAUAGGCCUAUUAAGUGUCAUCAUUCGAUCACCCUUAAGCUAGUAACUCAGUGUCGUAGAUCGAUUAGAUACUUAAUAAGGGAAGCCAAGUUAGACAACCUACAUUUUAUUAUUCAUCAAUGUCAGCCUGAUAUAUUGUCGCUUAGGAUGUCACCACUAGAUGCCGAUGAAGUAGAGUCCGCUUAUCAGUUUAUAACAGUAAUCACACCAAACCUUUUGUGUGAAGCCUUGAUUAGAUUAACAGUUAGAAAUCACUUCCAAUGUCAUCAGUCGCCUAAUUUGAUUUAUUAAACGUCAAUAUUAAGUUGUUUAGAAACCAGUAACUCAGUUUGGCUUUAGCCCAGCUAGUCACCAAAUAACCUUAGGUGCUUGAGACUCGCAGCCACUAGACAUCAGUGUCAGUUAUGCAUUCUAGUGAGAGUUUUGUCAUCCCAAUUCAGAGUGAGAACCAAGCUUUCUAGUUCGAUGGAACUGCCAGUAGACAAUAGUAACUAGUGAGUAUUAAGGUCCGGUGAUAAUCAAGCCGAGAUAGAAAAAAAUCCUAACCUUAAACAAAGAGUAGCAUGAAAACUAAGUGUGCAAUAUCAACUAGAAUUAUAUGACGUGUAAGACCUGAGAGUGCAAGUUACCAUUCAAUCCAGUUAAUUUUCCUUAGGAGAUUUUAUACACUAGUUUCUAAUCGUAUCAGAUACAUCCGUGCCUAAGGGAAUUAAGGAAUAAUAAUAAUAAGAUCGGUGGCCAAGGCAAAGUCUAUUAGGUACCACUCUUAGUAACCAGUUGGAUAAGUGUAAUCUGGGAAAGUUAGUCCAUGAACAUGAGUGCCUAGAAGGAAUUAUCAAAUAUUCUAGUAGCCUAUUUGUUGACAUCAGCCAGUAACUCAGAGUUAGACAAAUCCAAUAGUCUCACCACUAGCAUUAGAGGACUGUAUCAUUUGUGACUCAACCAUACAAUAAGUAAUCAAGCUAAUUUAGUAAAUUCCUCAUUAGAAGCUUAUUAACAUUACCGACAGAUAUUUCCGUCUUAACUUAAGUAAUUCUGACAAAUGUCUUCGACUCUCCGAUUUCAUUACCACCGGCUUGUCCGAAUCAAUACAAGCUAAACCUUUUCGCUACAUAUCAAAUUGUCUUCCUUCUGGACAUCAGUUAUCUUAGUGGAUCUGUUAGUAACUCUAUUCAGUUACAGUUUUAGAAGAAUCACAAAUUUUAGACGCUUAACUUUCAAGCAGUGACCAGUCUAUCUUAACAAGUUCUGUGGAAAAACCUUACCAGUGAGCCUAUCAUAAGAACCAAUCCUUAUCCUUAAGAUAAUUAUAGGUGGCGUGCGGCUGUAAGAUCAAAUUCACAAGAGCAUUCUGACAGUUGUUAGAGGUGAGAGAAGUAAGAGGUAGUAAGCGAAAGAGCAGUUCGAAGGAAAUAGAUAGGAGAAAACGCCGGAUAAGAUGAAACAAAAUAUGACAAUGUCCGGAAAUUAGUAAACGAAAGUCGUAAUGGCGCAUUCGGAAAAUGUUAGUAAGUAGUUGAAUCAGAGUGCGCAGCCGAGAAGUGGUUGAGAAUGUAGUCGGCAUAUUGAUUUGUAGGUCAACAACUCUUUGAGAGAGGAAAUUUUAUUCCAAGGAAUUGAGAGUGGAGGACCGUAAAAUGAAUAAAUAUCGUAUGACGAGUAAGCUAUGCAUACUUCCGCAUUUAAAACUUGAAUUGUUGGUAACGG
rnacentral:lncRNA from 1 species